rnacentral:lncRNA from 1 species
UCUAACUUUACGCCUCUGCCUUAUCCACUCAGGGACUUGGUUGUGAUGAUUAUUUUUGCAGAAAAGUCCCUGAACUUCAUUCAUCCAUAUCUUUUUAACCAUAACUCCAAAUGAGGUGAAACCAACGCUCACUUCUUUGUUUCGUCGAGCCCUCUCUGUUAGUGUCACUUUCAUUAUGUUUUGGCAUACUGAAAAUGACCAUUUUGCCCCUGCCCUUAAUCAGCCCCCUCCGAGAGAGAAAGAUUUCCGGCGAUUCUUUCCGGGAGCUUCUAACACUUUCUUUCGGUGAUUUCUUCCACCCCAGGCAAGCCACACCCUCCAUUCGCAUCACUGUAAUGUAGUGACAUGGUUUAAUUCAUUUUGAACUUGUUUAAAAUAUUGCUUUAGCAACAUGACUCUGUGCAUGGCAUUUUCUCGGGGUAUUGUUUUGAUCUUGUUGUUGCCAUGCUAUUGUUUGGAUUACUAGGAGUUAUGUUUGUAGUUGAUGAGUAUCGUGUUGCCAUUGGAGUAUUAGUGGCUGGUAUUAUGAUUAUUUCCAUGAUAAUAUCUGUGUUUAUGUUUGGAAUAUUACUUUGGAUAUCAUGCUACCUUUGGAUUAUUAGCGGUUAGUAUGAUUAUUUUCAUGAUGCUAGUUGAUGUUCUGUUGCUUGGAGUAUUAUUUCCGAAGAUGAUGGUUACAUGUGGAUCAUAGUUGGAUAACUUGUUCUUGCAUAUUGGAGUAGUAGUAUUACUGUUGUCAGAUUCAUCAUGAUAGUAGUGUCAUGCUAUCCUCAGAGUAUUUUGAGAUGAUGAUAUUAUGCUUGGAUUAUUUGUUGGAUAUUGCUAUGACUUAGAUAUUAGUUUGAUGGUUGACAUCGGAGUAUCAAUUAUCAUGGUUAUAGUUUUGUGGAUAAAUUCAGUCAUUAAGUUGGUCAGGUGCCGCCGAACCGAACCUUUUCCAGUGCAACCACAUUUGCCGGUAUGGGACGACCCUAAUGCGGUCUAUUGUCGUGCAUCUCGCCGGUGCCUCUAACGAGGGAAGGUUAUGGGCGCGCUCUACCCUGAUCAGGUAGGCGGACAUAAGCCUUGUGUGCCCGUAGUUGUUAUAGCCGGCGGAUCCCCGUGUGGGAUCGUUUAUGUUUUGGCCACGAUGGUGGUCGUUGUGUCUUGUGGUAGACACGGGGCCACCCAUGACAGCCCAGAGGGGUGUGAGUCGGAGUGGCCGGGAGAGUGUCAUGGCAGUAGAUUGGUUUUGUCGGAACGCUGUUAGUCCACCCGAAUGGGAGUGCGAGGCCAUGGGUUCCGUGGUCUGGGUACACUGCAGAGAGUGUGUAUUUAAUCUAUCGAUAGCCGCGUCCUCAGUCAUGGGCAUGUGUUCAUACUAGGGCACACCGUUCGAUCAACACUCACAUGACGGAAUAGGUGAUGGAUAUGUGGAUAUUUGGAGCAGUACAGAUUGGCCAAGUGUUGGUCGGGUUGUGAUCACCGUAAGGAUCACGGGCCAUGUAUUGGUCGGGUUGUGAUCACCGUAAGGAUCACGAGCCAUGUAUUGGUCGGGUUGUGAUCGUCGUAAGGAUCACGGGCCAUGUAUUGGUCGGGUUGUGAUCGCCGUAAGGAUCACUGUUACAGUUUGGUUUUGAUCACGAGGUGAUCGAGAUGGUAUAUAUAUUGCUUGGCCGGUUAGCCAAGAGAGAUAUGGUUAUGGAGAUCGGAGAUGGUAAUUUAUCAGUAUUGUAGUAGUUUCAUAUUAUGCUUAGGAGUUGCUGUUAUAUCAUGGUAGCUGUUAAUUUAAUUAACCUGCUUAAUACUAUGUUGUUGUCUUGCCUUGAUGUUUCUGGUUGUUGUGAGCUUGCAAGUACAUUCAAUGUACUGACCUGGCGUGUCAUGCCAGAUUGCAGGUGAUGCCGUGAUUGCUUGAUUGCUUGUCGUGGUUUCCGUUCGUGCGAGCUAGAUCAUGUCCCAGCCAGAGUCCCUGCGGAGUGGAGUUCACCACCUUCGUCAUUGUUCCGCUGCUAGAAGAUUUCCACUGCUAUGAGUUGUUCCGCUGCUAGCAUAGAGCAAGUGUAGUAUCGCAGGCGUAGUGUUGCCGUGCUGAUGUGAACCUUUGUAAUAUCAGACCUUUCUAUUCAUUCUUGUAAUAAGAACUGGUUUGUUC